rnacentral:rRNA from 1 species
UGGGGAAUCUUGCGCAAUGGGCGAAAGCCUGACGCAGCGACGCCGCGUGGGUGAUGAAGGCCUUCGGGUUGUAAAGCCCUGUGGAGAGGGACGAAUAAGUUCGACCUAACACGUCGGGCGAUGACGGUACCUCUUUAGCGAGCACCGGCUAACUCUGUGCCAGCAGCCGCGGUAAGACAGAGGGUGCAAACGUUGUUCGGAAUUACUGGGCGUAAAGCGCGUGUAGGCGGUCGUGCAAGUCGGGUGUGAAAGCCCAGGGCUCAACCCUGGAAGUGCAUUCGAUACUGCAUGGCUAGAGUCCGGGAGAGGAUGGUGGAACUCUCGGUGUAGAGGUGAAAUUCGUAGAUAUCGAGAAGAACACCGGUGGCGAAGGCGGCCAUCUGGACGGUGACUGACGCUGAGACGCGAAAGCGUGGGGAGCAAACA